CUUUACAAGGAUAUGUCUUUCGAAAACAUAUAAAUUUGAAAAACUGGUGAAUUCGAGAAAUUAACGGCGGAGCCAGGAAUCAAACCUGGUAUCCAGCGAUGCUUUACCGGAGCCUUACUCCACUAGACCACCUAGCCGCCCUGACUCUGAUGUCGUUAAUUCCUCUCAACACCAGUCAGUUCAAAUUUGUUUUC